GAAAUGCGAUAAGUAGUGUGAAUUGCAGAAUUCAGUGAAUCAUCGAAUCUUUGAACGCACAUUGCGCCCCUUGGUAUUCCAUGGGGCAUGCCUGUUCGAGCGUCAUUUGUACCCUCAAGCUCUGCUUGGUGUUGGGUGUUUGUCCCGUCUCCGCGCGUGGACUCGCCCCAAAGUGAUUGGCAGCCGGCGUACUGGUCCCGGAGCGCAGCACAUGUCGCGCAAACGAGUGCCUUGGUACGGCGGCGUCCAUAAGCCCCUCUCUCACGCUCUUGACCUCGGAUCAGGUAGGGAUACCCGCUGAACUGACGC
rnacentral:misc_RNA from 1 species